CAUUCUGCCCUCAUUUAUUUUCUGAAAUUGCAUCCUGGGAAUAGGCAUCCAAUCAAAAGGCAUUUUAUUCCCCCUACGAACUCAAAUCGUUGAAACGGUUCGGCCGCCUAAUGAUGACCCAGAAUUUCAGACUUCCCAUUCAACAGAAUGCUGGUUCCAUUGCCAACUUGUAGAGGAUGGAAAAGGACGGCAGACAGCAAUCCACAGGUCAAUUCAUUCCCUAUAAGCAUGAAUCUCUUUUUAAUCAGAAGUUUUUUUUUUUAAUUUCUUCUGUAAGUUAGUGAUUGGAAUGGCCCCAUAAACUAUAUUCUGCAGAAACCUGUUCAGCUGGGAUCAAAAGCAGAUGUCAGCAUUUUAGAUGGCUCAUAUCCUUAUCUGAUUAGUACUUAUUUUCACCUAAAAACGGCAACGGAUGGAGAAACUGAAGGAAAACAGCUGCCUAGAUUGCAUAUCUUUAUAUUAGCAGAAACUAAACUGCUGAGUUACAUAUAUGCUAAUAAAAUGGUCACAACAUAGCACGGCUCACUCUUCUUUCGUACUCUACAGAUCACACUCUUCACCUACACAGUAGCCCC
rnacentral:sRNA from 1 species